CCUUCUCAAACCUUUGGGUUUGGUCGUGAGUGAUACUCUUUCCAGGGUUAACUUGAAAAUGCUGGCCAUCUGGCUGCUGCUGGCUGAGGCUCUAGUCCAGUCUGCUGAUACUCGACGUAUUAGGUUUUACCAACUCGUUGUGGCAUCGGUCGGGCGUUAUUACGACUCUAGCACGAAAGUACAGACAGCCUGGCGAACAGUAUUCAUAAA
rnacentral:misc_RNA from 1 species